UGGGGAAUAUUGCACAAUGGGCGCAAGCCUGAUGCAGCAACGCCGCGUGAGGGACGACGGCCUUCGGGUUGUAAACCUCUUUUAGUAGGGAAGAAGCGAAAGUGACGGUACCUGCAGAAAAAGCACCGGCUAACUACGUGCCAGCAGCCGCGGUAAUACGUAGGGUGCGAGCGUUGUCCGGAAUUAUUGGGCGUAAAGAGCUCGUAGGCGGUCUGUCGCGUCUGCUGUGAAAACCCGAGGCUCAACCUCGGGCCUGCAGUGGGUACGGGCAGACUAGAGUGCGGUAGGGGAGAAUGGAAUUCCUGGUGUAGCGGUGGAAUGCGCAGAUAUCAGGAGGAACACCGAUGGCGAAGGCAGUUCUCUGGGCCGUAACUGACGCUGAGGAGCGAAAGCGUGGGGAGCGAACAGGAUUAGAUACCCU
rnacentral:rRNA from 1 species